rnacentral:rRNA from 1 species
AGUGAACGCUGGCGGUAGGCCUAACACAUGCAAGUCGAACGGCAGCACAGUAAGAGCUUGCUCUUACGGGUGGCGAGUGGCGGACGGGUGAGGAAUACAUCGGAAUCUACUUUUUCGUGGGGGAUAACGUAGGGAAACUUACGCUAAUACCGCAUACGACCUACGGGUGAAAGCAGGGGAUCUUCGGACCUUGCGCGAUUGAAUGAGCCGAUGUCGGAUUAGCUAGUUGGCGGGGUAAAGGCCCACCAAGGCGACGAUCCGUAGCUGGUCUGAGAGGAUGAUCCGCCACACUGGAACUGAGACACGGUCCAGACUCCUACGGGAGGCAGCAGGGGGGAAUAUUGGACAAUGGGCGCAAGCCUGAUCCAGCCAUCCCGCGUGGGUGAAGAAGGCCUUCGGUUUGUAAACCCCUUUUGUUGGAAAAGAAAAGCAGCGGUUUAAUCCCCCGCUGUCCUGACGGUACCCAAAAAAAAAGCACCGGCUAACUUCGUG